rnacentral:rRNA from 1 species
CCUACGGGAGGCAGCAGUAAGGAAUAUUGGUCAAUGGACGAAAGUCUGAACCAGCCAUGCCGCGUGAAGGAUUAAGGCCCUCUGGGUUGUAAACUUCUUUUAUCUGGGACGAAAAAAGGGUAUUCUUACUCACUUGACGGUACCAGAGGAAUAAGCACCGGCUAACUCCGUGCCAGCAGCCGCGGUAAUACGGAGGGUGCAAGCGUUAUCCGGAUUUACUGGGUUUAAAGGGUGCGUAGGUGGGUUUGUAAGUCAGUGGUGAAAUCUCCGAGCUUAACUCGGAAACUGCCAUUGAUACUAUAGAUCUUGAAUUAUCUGGAGGUAAGCGGAAUAUGUCAUGUAGCGGUGAAAUGCUUAGAUAUGACAUAGAACACCAAUUGCGAAGGCAGCUUACUACGGAUAUAUUGACACUGAGGCACGAAAGCGUGGGGAUCAAACAGGAUUAGAUACCCUGGUAGUCCACGCCCUAAACGAUGGAUACUCGACAUCAGCGAUACACUGUUGGUGUCUGAGCGAAAGCAUUAAGUAUCCCACCUGGGAAGUACGACCGCAAGAUUGAAACUCAAAGGAAUUGACGGA